GUUCAGUGUCAGGUUCGGGAUCAGAAAGGCUCCGGAGAUGAGUCGGAAUCUGGUUGAAUUUUCGGACGGAUUGGAUUUUUUGAGUAAUUUCAACAAUUCUACUCGAUGGUAUGGAACUGUUUGAAGGAAAUUUGUGCGUAUUUUGUUCUAAUGGGAAUCUUGUCCUUCAUAAAUAGCAACUUUAUAUUAUAAGUUCAGCAAACCGCAAUCCACAAGGGAAUUUUACUAAUUUAUCUUGUUUGACUCUAAGUUAAAAUAUAUACAGUAACAUCUUCCUGAAAAAUCAAGUGAAGUUAUGCAAUCAAUGUUCCUAAUUGCUAUAAGUUUGAUGAAGAAGAAGAUACCUUCACAUGUUUGUCAUGGGUUCUCUAUUUAUAGGCCUUUUUACACAUCCACGUGGUACUCAUCCUUUCAAGUUAGGAGAACAUAUGCGUUCAUAUAUGUCUAUGAAAUUAUGGUGUGGAAUAUGAAUAUCUCAUGUUCUUAAUGACACGCAGACAAUACUUAGUUGAUUAUUUUAAGUAAGGAGAUCGAUCGAUCGAUCUAAUGUUAUCUAGUUUGUAAGGCUGAUCAACCAUCUCAGUAGAUUGUAGAGCUCAAAUACCUAACCCUAAUUAUGAGUGCUUCAUUGUUUUAGCAUGACUUGUAAGUGAUGUUUAGUGUUCGACAUCUUGUCUAAGUUGGACAUAAAUUGAUCGACACAAAAUAAGUCCCUUAUUAAGAAAUCCCGGUAAUAUUGAUUUUUUCUUUUAAUUCAAUUGACUAUGUGCAAGAACUUUCACUCUGGCUUCGAAAGCACAACCACCUUUUUUUUGCAAAAGCUAUUGCAAAAGGUAAUUCAUUUUUCUAAAAUUCCUUAGGUGAUAUGAAAAUUUGUUCAAUUUCAUUAUAAACUCAUUAUUUAUCUCGAUCUAGUUGAUGUAAAAUUUUGCUCGCACUUUCUCAACAAUCCAUCAUUCAAACAAAGUAUCACCAUCUCGUCCAGAAUGAUAAUUCGUCCAUCCCCUUAUUCAAACAAGGCUGGAUCGCAUACUCCGUUAAGUUGCAACUCUUUCAUUUCAUCAAGGCCCACCAUCUUAUGUGAAUACAAGCCAACCAUGAAUGGGUAUCAUAUUUAGUUGGAUACUUCAUAUAUAUGUUCGAUUUCAAUUAGGAUUCAUCUUUGGUGUCUGUAUAGCUAAAUUUGGAUUCUAAUGCUAACAUCACUUGUUGGAAUUGUAAUCUAUUCCAGAAGGUUUUUAAAGUUUAAACUUUUCAAAUGGGACCCUAAUUCCAAAUAUCACCUCCUUCUAAGAACCUUGAAGCUACUAUAUCGUGAGUAUUGUGUUCUUAAAUUAUAAAGCAUAAGCUACGGAGUAUCACUGAAUAAGAGACAAAUUUAGGAACAUUUCCUUAGUCAUUUCAAAUGCUUCUAUUCAAGAUUAGUAUUAUGAAACACUGUUAUUUUGCACAGCAUACUCACUUUAUUCAAGACAAGUUUAGGAACACUUCCUCAGUCAUUUCAAAUAUUUCUAUUCAAGAUAAGUGUUAACUGCUUUAAAUUAUAAGGCAUAAGCUUUUGAGUAUCACUUUAAUCGAGACAAAUUUAGGAACACUUCCUUGGUCAUUUCAAAUGUUUCUAUUAAAGAUUAUGUUACGAGACACUAUUAUUUUGCACUGCAUAUUAAGAAACAACAUCUGUUAUCUAUUUAUGCAUUUUAUUUUUAGUAUUUAUACACAUUCUUUAAAUCAUAAUAUCAUCAUGUAUUCUUACCUUGUCCAUAGUUUCUUUGUAUAGAUAAUUUAUUGUCUUUCCUUCUAUCACUUCAUUGCCAAUUCAUUCUUUAGAACUCUAUUAAAAGAAGCAUCCUUAGACACAUUUUUAUUAAAUUUUUCUGAGAAAUACAUAAUCUCAAGAAAUGUUUAUAUUAGCUAUUAGAAUUGAAUGGAUGAGUCCAAGCUUCUUCUUUUUUUUUCCCCCAUAGUUUAAUAGCUAAUUAAAUUUCACCUAUAAUAAGCACCUAUUAGUUGGAAGAUAUUGUAACGCCCCGAAAUUUUAUAGAAAAACUUAUUUGUUUUAUAUAUUAUAUUUUUAUAUUUUGAAAGUUGAGGGGCUAAAGUGAAAAAGUAUUAAAUUCAAUAUUAUUUUGGGUCAAAUAAUUAAUUAUUGAAAAGGUGAUAAUUAGUAUAGUAAUAUUGGACUCGUUAGAUAGCUCGUAUCUAAUCAUGUAUAUUAUGCUCGAGAAAAGGUUAUUUCAGAUAAGCGAAGAUUAAGUUAUUGAAGUUGAAAGGAUUUGUCUCUAAUUAGUAUUAGAUUGUUAAAUUGGUUAUAGAUUUAAAAGUUUGGUAGCCAUGUGGGUAUAUAGAUAGAAACAAAGCAACUUUUUAUUUGAUUAUGAUAAGGACUUGUUGUAAUCCCAUUUGAAUUUCAUAUUGUUUUACGAGUAAGGAUUUGUCAUAUGACCAAAUAUAUAUAGAACACAUGGAAGUUAGAAAAUUUUCACCACAAAAGCAUUAUACAUAAACAGCGGAGAACCAAAAUUUGGCCACACAUACUUCAAAGUAGAAUUCGCAUUCAUUAAUCAUUAUUUUCAGCUUAACAUACGAGUGAUUUGAGAAAAAGAUUUCAAAAUUCAUUUGAUCUAAUGAGGUAGGAUAAUGAGGUGCAAUUGCUUUUAUCCCAUUUAAAUUAUUUUUUUCGCGUUGUUGAAUUAUUAUACUUAUGAAAGUUAAAGAUAUAGUAUGAUAUGUCAUCCGGUACCAAAGAUAUGAUAUAUAUUAAGUUCUUACAAGUCCCUAAAGAUAUGAUGAUAGUAUAAUAUUUUGACGCAAGAUUUAAAUAUUUAUUCGGGAUUGCACCAUGAUUUUCGUGUCCUAUUGAGUAUUCUCACAUACUCACCCUUAUUUCCCUACUCCUCACAGGUUAGAACAGGUCGUUAGUUGGCGGACGAUGAGGUGCAGUCAUGACACAAAGAAUUAUGGAACUUAAUUAAAAAAUAAUCAGGCGUAACAUGACGGUGAAUUUUAUUUGCAGCACUAUUUUGAUUUUAUUAUCAAGUAGAUUUCGUUACUUAGGAUUUGAAACAUGUUUUAAUUGGUUGUGUUUUCUAAAUGUUUUAUUUACUAUUGGUGGAACCAAAAAUUCCAUAUGGUGACAUUUGAUUUAUUUAUUUAACUAUGGUAAGAAUAAAAUAUGGCGUAGGAAAAUCUUUGUUCUUUCCUUUUAUAAAUGAAUAUAUAAAAUUUUCAAUGAAUUUGAGUAAAUUACCAUUACGUAAUUUUAUACAUAUUGCAUGUCAUGUUAUUAAAAUUUUAAAUAAAACUUUUAGUAACGAUCUAAAUAUUAAAAUUUGAAUCGUUACAGAUAUGGUCAAAACACGAUUCCCUUGUACAGUGGAGGAAUCCUCUUGGUAUCCAAACUGUACACAGACAGUGAUAAGGAGACUUCUCAGAACAAUAAAUGGCCAUUCAACAAUAAAAUGAUUUUAGAAUUUCAAGAUGCCUUGAUAACAGCAAUUCAUGAAUUUAAGGAGUAUUUAUGAUAUGCCUGUUGUAUUGGAAGAAAUGAUAUUCAAUCUUGGUAUGGGUUACUCAGGAUUUCGACUGACAGGUGCUUUAUAAGUUUAUUUUACUACUCUAAUAAAAGUAGGGUUUUUUUUUUUCAUAAAAGGGAGAACUAGGAGUCAUAGUUGAUGACUCGAUGGCUAUAUAUAUAUGAUAUGCCUGUUGUAUUGGAAGAGAUGAUAUUCGAUCUUGGUAUGGAACUCAGGAUGUUGACUGAUGUGUUUUAUAAGUUUAGGGGUUAUUUUACAGCUCUAAUAAAAGUAAUUUUAUUUUAUUUUUUUCAUGAAAGGCAGAACUAGGGCCCAAGUUGACGACUUGAUGGCUAGCUUAUAUAUGAAUGAGCCAACUUCAACACUAUAGUUGCACAAUUUCUUAGUGCUUUUUCUGCAGGCUUGUGUGUGUGUGUGUGUAUUCGCAGGGGUGGACCCAAGGGAGUUUUGCAGGGUCAAGUGACCCCCAAACUUUUAAGGGUUAUUUUUUUUAUUUUUUUAUUUUUUGUGGGGAUAAGUCCUGUUUAGUAUGGAUUGAAAUUGAAAUUUUAUUCUAAAUCAAAGUUAAUAAUUAAUUUUAAUAACAUAUUUCAUGAAAUAAUUAACUUUUUUAACUUUUAUCAAUAUUUACUAAAAAAUUGACUUUAACCCCCCCCCCCACCAAACAGGGACAAAGUCACAAUAAAUUUGAAUUUUUUUUUCUUUUCUCUUACUUCUCCUUCACCCUUGACCAAAACCUUAACCCUUCUAAUUUUUUAAUAAUUUACUUAUAAUUUUCCUUCAAAUUAUCAUAUUUACUACAGAUUUUCAACUAAGUAGAACCUAAAUUUGCUUUUUUCCGAUCCUAUUUGUGUACAUAGAAUGUGUCUAAACUUAUUAUAUCCAAUUUAACUUAUAUUUAACGAAUUUUAUUUAUUUGAUUGAAUAUUGGUUAUAUAAUUUUUUUUCUUUCGAUCACUUGAAUUGGUUAAACCUAUUAAAUACGCUAUAAAUUUUUUAAACAUAAAUAUGAAUUUUCUUGUGAUGAGCAAAAUAUUAAUAAAAUGAUUAUUCGAAAUCAAAUGGAUGAAAAUUAUGAGCAAAAUAUUAAUGAAGAAUUGUUUUGUAAAUGUAAAUAUGCAUUUUCUCGGAUUAAGUAUAAAUCAUUCAAAAAUCAAUAACAGAGCAUCUAAUAAUUAGCGAAUUCUUAACUUAAAAAGUUUAGAUAUUCAUAGAAUUAGCUAAUCUAGUACAUUGCCUAGCCCGUGUUUUGUGGUUUGACUAAAAAAAUAAAAUUUUAGUAAAUUUCAAUAAUAGUUGAUGAAAUAUAUGGUUAAAAAUUGAUAAAAGUUGUGACUCACAUAAUACAUAUGAUUAAAAUAAGAUUGAGAAAAAACGAAUUUUAAAAAUAGAGACUUAAUUCUUGCAAUCUUCCACUUCAUUGGUAAUAGUGUGAAAAAUAUAGUCACAUUAUUAUUUAUUUAUGAAAAUUGUUACUUGUCAACCCUUUGAUUAAAAAGUAAAGUGAAAUGCAAGUGAUGAUACACGUUAAAUAAAAUAGUUAGUGAACACUUAAUCAAAUUUUAUUUUCAAUUACAUUUUAAUAAAUUUAUCAGUAUUGUUCAUCAUUUUUUCUAUCCAUGUAUAAAUUAAAUUGUUUAUAACUUCUGAAAAAGUAAUAGUUCGACCCAACCAACACCUAGAGGGGGGGUGAAUAGGUGUUUAUAUUGAAUUAAAACAAUUAAUUAACUGAUGCAACAAGUCACAUCAAUUAUGCAUUGCCUAGAUUCAUUCACAUACUUUAUCUACCUAAGUUGAAUUAUCGGUUGAAAAAUAAAUAGCAGAAAGCAGUAAAAACACAACAAAAUGUUGACGAAGAAAACCCAACUGGGUAAAAACUCCGGACACAAGCCAGUAGAGAUCCACUAUAGAAGAUAUUGACUUACAGUACGUCAGACAUUAUUGAUUCUAACAAUAUUCUGACCUCCUUACUGUAUUGACCACAGCUAUCCUGGAUUUUGCAGAUCUGCGCCAAAAUCCCAGUUUUGAAUAUCUUCUACCUCCUGUGAAUCACCAAGCACUCCAGUUCUUCAAGCAAUUUCCUUCCCGGAUCUUCAAACAAAUGAUCUUCUAGAAGUUUAUAUGGAGAUAUGAAAGGGUGUUUUGGUUUUGUGAGGGUUGAUGUUUUUUAUUCAAAGAACCAUGAGAAUCAAAGAUGAAAAAGAUGAAUUUAUUUUGGUUCUUUAUCCUUUGGAAGUUGAGAGGAAUUGUUGUUUUAAUGUUUGCCAAAGGUCACUAAUGAAAAUCGUUCGUUUUGUUUAUAUAGUAGGUCGAAUUUGGUAAUAUAGAGCGUUAAAAAUUCGCGAGGCAUUAAAAUUACCAAAGGCCAGAUAACACAGUCGCUCGAGCGAGGUCCUGGCGAAACUCGAGCGACGUACCUUCGCUCAGGCGAUAGACCAGCGAAACUCCAGCGAGGUCAGUUCUGCAAUUUUGGCUCUAGCAAGGUCAGGGCGAAACUCCAGCGACAUCAAUGCACCGUUUGCAUCUUCAAAGCAUCCCACUUUAUCCUAGACCUAUGCUAUGACCUUUACAAAAUUGCAACUUUAGUCCCUGAACUAUUUGACCUGUACAAUUUAGUCCUUGACUUUACAAUUUUGACAAAUAGGUCCUUUGGUCACAGAUUGCCAAUUACACAUUUUCCUAACAAACUUCUUUUCAAAUGAAGUUAGACUUUUAACAAGACGACUACAAAUGCAAAUUAAGAUGAAAAAUCAGAUCAACACAUGCAUCAAGGAGCAAAUCAAACACAAUUCCAUUUGAUUCAUUAUUUAAAAACUCAUUUUUUAAACUCGCUUUUAACCUUAUUUAUUUCCAAUAAAAUAAUUUUACAUGUGAACCUAAAAACUUUUUCCUAGUUUUGAUCCAUACAUUUUACAAAAAAUCACUAUUAUAAAACUUAUUCUUUAAAAAAAAAAAUGUUGAUCUCAAAGGCACUCUAAUAGUAAGACCCCGACUUUAGUACUAUAACAAGAAGAAAACAUGGAUUUUUGUCUUAAAACCAAUCCCAAAUUGAGUGGUGCAAGAUGAAUAUGUCGCGUCUCUCUCUCUCUCUCUCUGUAAGUGAUCUACGAGAUAGCAAUAAAAUAUUGAGUAAUAAUAUUAAUAGUAAAGACUACUGGCAGUCGUCAUAUGUUGUAUGCAAAUCACAGUUUGUUAUUUGAUACAUUAUAUAUGUACGUAUCUAUCACUUUUUUUUUCUUGGUAUUUGAUAUUUAAUAUUCACAUUAAUAUUGUAAAAUUAACAAUACAUAAUAAAGUUUCAUUUUAUUAUUAUUAUUACUUUUUGUGAAAGUAAAAACAUAUUUUAAACUAAAUUUCUACAAUAAAGGCAAAUACUAAAUACAUAGAAAAAAAGCUAAUUUAUAUCUUUCAUCACAUCACCCCAAUCAAAUGGUUAAUAUUGUAUUGUGGAUUGACAAAGAAAUCAGAGACAUCCAAAAAAGUCUCAUCAAUCGAACCAUCAUAAUCAGCAAAAUUUAUCUCCAAUUUUUCAUUUUCCCUUUAUUGAUUUUCGAUAGAGAUCAACUUUUGUCGUACAAUAGGUACAUGCCCAAUGCCCUUUUAUUUCACAUCUAAAACAACUUUCUUCUUGCUCUUUUUUGGAUGUGCUACUUUCAUUUGCUUUGUAUCUUUUGAAAUUGUUGCCAUAUUAUCGAUAACUUUAUUGAUUAUUUUGUCCAUGAUUUAUUCCAAGUGCUUGUUCGUGUCUGUGUCCAAAUCCAUGUCCACGUCCAUGCACAUGUCAACAUCCUUGUCUUGAUAUUGCAUUUGCUUUAGGCAACACAAUACUAUUUGCUUCAAACAAUAGUAUAGAACUAGUAUGAUGUAAUCCAUGAUUUUUUAUCAGCAUUUAAUUAUUUUAUUUAGUAAUGAGUAUGCAAAAUAUAAGUUUAGAGUACUUUUUGAAAUUACGCUCAUGAUAUUGCUGCUGUAGAAGCACAUUUGAGACGUGAGAUAUAGAAUUUUUUUUCCAAGAUAUUGUAAUUAGUUAUUUUUUCUCCACGCAAGGUUAAUUUUGAAUAUAUUCUGUACAGUUCAAAAUUGUAUUCACUAACAAUUUUGAAGUCUCACAAACGAAUUUGCAUCCACUCAUAGCAAGCUUUAGGUAGGAAUAUAGUCCUCUGAUGAUCAAAAUUUUCAGCUAAUUUUUUUCAAAGAGCCUAUGAAUUUUUUUGAGUAAGAUAUUUAAUUUCUUAUCCAUCGUGAAGAUAAUGACGAAGGAAGAUGAGUGCUUUUGCACGAUCCUACAAGGAUUCUUUGUUUUCUUCUUUUAUUAUCUCUCCCAAAACUUUUGAGAGCGUCGAAUAUCCAUGAUAGUUUUUACUUGAUAUGUCAAGUGUAACAACUCAAAUUUUGUGAUGUUUGCCAUUUGAUUAUCUGCACUAUAAAAAAGUACAAUUAGUUUCAAAGAAUGUAAUUAAAUAUUGUAUAAUCACAUGAUAAUUAAUCAAGUAGUCAAUGAGUUAUAUGUUUUCCUUCAAAGAUAAACACUAAUAUAAAAUAAUAUAUUUUUCGAAACAUGUGCUACUUCGGGAGCACGUUGUAUUUAACUAUUAUUUUUUCAAGAGUAAUAUGUCAACAUUCUUUUGGAAUAUUAAAAAAAAUAUAAUUCAUGCUCUUCAGAAACAAGUAAUAUUCUUUAGGAAUAUCAAUUAUAAUGUUGUGCUACUUCAGGAAUAACGAUAUAUUAUUCGUAAUCAAUAAAUCUACAAUUAAUAAUCUUCUAGAAUAUUAAUUAUAUAAUCUUAUGCUACUUUAAGAGUAACAACAAAUUAUUAUUAUAAUAGACUGAUCUACAUGUAUUAAAUUAAUAAAUUAUGUGGAGUAUUAAUAAGAAUCAGAAAGUGAUAAUUAAUCGAUAAAAAAUCUAAGACAUGUAUACAAUGUAACAAUUAAUGACGACGAUGACCAUUAAUGAUGAUGGCAACAAUUGAUGAUGACAAUCAAUCAAAUUCACAUAAAUUUAUUUUGAAUUCGCAAACCCUUUUUUAUUGUACGGACAAAUUUAUUGUAGGUAAGUUAUGGCGUGCAAAUUAUGAUAGAAUUAUGGUGGCAAAUUUAGAUGUACAUAAAUUAUGAGAGGCAAAUAAUGGCAAGAUUACGUAUUGUAUGAAACAAAAAUUCACAUGUUAGCAAAUUAAUUUUGAUCCAUGUUAUGAAAAGAGAGAAAGCAAAAGAAAAUAGAGAACUCAAUAGACUUGUGUAUUUUAUUAAGAACUAGAACCCUAUAUUUAUAAGAAAGAAUUAGGAAUACAAUGAUAAUAAUUUAUAUAGUUGAGAGGUACAAUUGUCAUUCACCAAUAAACUUACCAUUUACAACACAUUCUUAUUAGUAAUGCUCUAAAAUAAAAAUAGCAUUUAUUUAAAGUGGAAAUUAUAUUACACCCUACUUUAAAAAUUCAGAAUUCUAAAAUCAAAUUGAAUGCUUCAUUGUUCGAAGAUUAGAUGUUUUAUUAAUUAGUCAAUCCUUAUUUUCUAUCACAACUCUCUCUCUCUCUUUGUCCAAAAUCGCAGCUCCAUCGAGAAGAAGGCCGCCCGUUAACAAAUUGAGAUAGCACCAUUCGCCGACACUGCCCACAGCACCCACAAGCCAUGCAUGACGUUGGUUGUAGCGUCGUGUCGUUGUGCUCGCGCCCACGGCACCUGCUGGAAGCAAUGACGGUGGUGAGCGUACACCAAGUCACAAGCUGCUGCGUAGGUGUUGAUGAUGGAGAUGACUAAGCAACGUCGCUUUAGUGUUAAUGAUGGAGGUGACCAGAUCUGCUGUGCAGUGCAACACUUGCAUUGCCGUACAUGGGUGGUAUUCCACUGUGUAGGAGGCAAUUCGGUGUUCUGCUUGCAGCGCCGUGCAUAGUGUUCACUCAGCCGUUUGCGUUUUUAUUUUUUAUUUUUUAUUUUUUGUUGUGUGUGAGGAUGAUUGGAUAGUGGUGAGGUGGUGGUGGAGGAGGCGCCAUUGGUGUUUAUGAUGGUGGUGGAACCACAUGGAGUGAGUGGGGCUACGGGAUGGUGGAUUAUGGGUUAGGUUGUGUUGGCAACGACGACGACGGGGAGUUGCUGGCGGUAUUUGGCAACAGUGGUGAUAAUGGUUGUGGUGAGCUCCCGAUUAUGGUAGUGGGGUGGCGGAGUGGGGUUAGGGUGGGUGAGAUGGUGGUGGUGGUGGUAAGGUGGUGCUCUAUAAUAUUUGUGAUCAAUAAAUUGAUUAAUUUUUUACCGAUAAAAUAUAUAAUUUGAGACCAAUAGAUAAUAUAUGAUUUAAAAAAUGUGGGGUUGUUAAUUUGUAAUAUGUAACCUGAAAAUUGCGACAGUGACGCACAACCGAUUAAGUUGUGAUCCAAAAAUUAAUCGUAACCAAUUAAUCUAAUAAUUUGCAAUGAAUAAAUUAUUUGUGACCAAUAAAAUUUUUUUUUUUGUGAUCGAAAAAUAAUUUGUGACCAAUAAAUUUUUUGAUUUAUUAUCGAGAAAUAAGUUGUGACUAAUAAUUUGAUAAGUUGUGACUAAAAAUUAGUCUGUAACUAAUUAAUUAGAUAACUGUGACCAAAUUAUAUACAAUUGUGAUAUCCAUAUAUUUAAUUAGUAAAAUAUAUGUUUAAUAAAUUAAUUUAUAAAUAAAAUUUUAAAAUAUCUGAUUUUUGAAAUUUGAAACUUUUUUUUUUUAAUUUUGAAAUGUCUCAUACUUAAUCUCUUAUUUAUGAAUUUUUUCCAUAUUUAAAUAUAAUUUAACGUUAAAAAGGCCAAUAAAUUAAGUGGCCCAAAAUGUUUUCCUCCAUUUAUUACAACAUGGACUCCCGGCCUCCUUUUUAGCCCUAUUUUCUUUCUUUCUUCACAUCGUGCCUCUUUUGCCUAUAGAUCCAUGAGGAAAUCAGUGAUAAUGCCCGAUUGACCCACCCUUAUUUCCACUUUGGCUUUUGACUAAUUUAAAAAAAAAUGAAAAUCCAAUUUGAAAACUGUUUUUCAAAAAUAUCCCUCCAUCCUCUCUCUCUCUCUCUCUCUCUCUCUCUCGACAGUCAGUCGUCUCCUUGGAUUCUAAUUUUCACUUUCAUUGACAGUCGGUCAUUCAGACAUCCUUCCUCACCUCGAACUUUCGGUUGUUGGCUAUCUCCUAUUGUGAAGGUUAGUUUUUUUGGAGUUAUAAUUAGAUUAUUGGUUGGAAUAUUAUUUUUGGGGUGUGAAAGGCAUUAUUUAGGCUAGAUUUAGGUAUAGAUAAAAUAUAUUGGUUUAUUUUGGUGUGUGGGGAGCUUCAGCUCGUCGAAAAUGGUGGAAUCCGACAAGAUGAAGCUAAUCGGUGUUAACAAUUGGCCGCUAGCAGUCGACCGGCUGUCAACAGCUGGCAAAUAGCCAAGUUUUACCCCACUGUUAACAGUCGAUUUCCAAGCUAUUCGUAAUGGGUUUUACCCGAUUGUUAACAACCGGUUUUAACAGUCGUGGGCAGUUGGCCCAUGACUAUUAAAUGGAUUGACUAUUAAGUCGCAGUCGGCCCCUUUUUUAUUUUUUUUUUACUUUCUUAAAUUAAUUUAAAUCAUUAAUUUUUUCGAAUUUUUUAUUAAAUAAUAUUUCCCUUUAUCAAAUUUAAAGAAAUUUAUUAUUCUAAAAUUAAUUUUCAAAUUAAUUUUUUAAUUCUAAUUUUAACUUUUUAUUUGAAAUUUAAAUUUUCAUUUUAAUUAUAAUUUUAAUUAAAAGAAAUUUGUUAUUUUCAAAAUCCUUUUUUAAUUCUAAUUUUAACUUUUUAUUUUAAAUUUUAUUUUUAUUUUUAUUUUAAAUUUAAAUUUUCAUUUUAAUUAUAAUUUUAAUUUAAAGAAAUUUUUUAUUUUAAAAUUAAUUUUUUAAUUCUAAUUUUAACUUUUUAUUUUUAAUAUAAUUUUAAUUUUUUAUUUUAUUUUAAAUUUAAAUUAUCAUUCUAAUUUAAAGAAAUUUUUUAUUAUAAAAUUAGUUUUCAAAUUAAUUUUUUAAUUCUAUUUUUAACUUUUUUAUUUUAAAUUUAAAUUUAAUUCUUUAUUUUAAAUUUAAAUUUUCGUUUAUAAUUAUAAUUAUAAUUUAAAGUUUUUAUUUUUAAUUUAAUUUAAUUUAUUUCAUUUUAAAUUUGAAAAUUCAUUUUAAUUAUAAUUUUACUUUAAAGAAAUUUGUUAUUCUAAAAUUAAUUUUUAAAUUAAUUUUUUAAUUCUAAUUUUAACUUUUAAUUUUUAUUUUUAAUUUAAUUUAAUUUAAUUUUAAAUUUAAAUUUUCACUUUAGUUAUAAUUUUAAUUUAAAGAAAUUUGUUAUUUUAAAAUUAAUUUUCAAAUUACUUUUUUAAUUCUCUUUUUAACUUUUUAUUUUAAAUUUAAUUGUAAUUGUAAUUUUCAUUUUCAUUUUUAGUUUUAUAUUUUAAUUUUAUUUUUUAUUUUAAUUAUUAAUUUUCGAUAAUACGGUAAAAAAUUCAUAUUAUUAGUUUAAUUUGAAUAAUUUUUUAUUUUUAUUUUCAAUUUAAUUAAUUAAUUAUAACUUUCACUUCUAAUUUUAAUUUUAAUUUUAAUUUUAAUUAUAAUUUUUUGGUAAUAGCGUAAAAUUUUCAUAUUCUCUAUUUAAUUUGAAUAAUUUUAUAUUUUCAUCUUAAUUUUAUUUUUUAUUUUAACUAUUAUUUUAAAUUUUAAUUAUUAAUUUUUGGUAAUAGGGUAAAAAUUUCAUGAAUCUGGGUCUUGUAUAUAGUAGUUACGAUUCGGUUCGCUUAAUUUUCGAUUUUUGUGCUUCAUUCCAUUAUUUCUUAUACAAUGUUUUAAUAUUUUGUUUCAAUUUUUGCAGGAUGGAUUAUCAUCUGGAUGCAAAGGAGACAGAUGUCGGACAAAGUUACGUGGAAGAGUAACUUUGACAGCUCAACCCAGGUCCUGGAGCUACUCAACGACCAGCAUGCAAAUAUAUUGCGUUAGUCCUUUCUAUGGCCUUUGUACCGUUGAGAGAGUUGCAGUAUUCAAGUCAGAUGAUCGAUGCUUUUCUAUGUUGGUUGCUGAGUCCAGUUGAUGGUAAUGCCCUCUACUUUGACCUCGGGGGCAAAGUCGCUAGCUUUUGCAUGUUCGAGUUUGCCCUGUUGACUAGAUUGAAGAUUACGGGUGAUGAGGCAGCUAGCAGCGGGACUCAGAUAUAUGUGUAUGACCCUAAUCAUUGAUGUACAUACUAGUGAUCGUGAAUCAUCAUUGCAUAGGUUUGGAGAUUGUGUUCGCUGAGUCUGCUAUAUAUUUGUAUGACCCCGAUCAUUCAUGUCUGACACAGGGUCAGCUCGAGCGAAAUUUGGAGUCUGUUGCUGCUGUUGUCCCUAUGAUGGCUAGAUGAGUGGGAUUGACUGUGAAGGACAGAUUAGUCGUCGUGCGGGACACGACGAAAGCCAGGCAGACAUUAUCGUAAGUGGUUCUAAAAUUUUUUUAAAUUUAAUACUUAAUUUUUUUGCUACCCUGGUACUGAUAUAACUUAUUGUUGUUCAAUUGCAGGGGAGAUUGCAACAUGUUUGUAAUAAAAUUUAUUGAAUUUUUGAGCAUAAGACAUAAAGUUGACGAAAUCAACCAAUCAUGGAUAGAAAUUUGGAGAAAAAGUUAGCAUGCGAUUUAUACGAUUUUAAUUUUGAUCCAUAAAUACUCUAAAUAUUUAAUUUUUUGGUAAUUACGAAAUUUUUAUAAACACUGUAAAUAUUGAUUUGUAUAUUGUGAAUUUUUCUUAUCGUAUUGAACAAUUGAUUAUUAAAUUACAACGUCCUUUGAAAUAUCAUAAAAUAAAUGUAAACAUUGUUUAUUUUAGACCAACAACAUUAUAGAAUGAUCUAACUGUCAUUUAGAGGAACAUGACUUGUACAAUACUGGCGAGUAUGCCCUAUAGAUUUGCACGUGCUGCAUCUACGCGGUCGAGAAAAUUUUUCGGUAGAUGGUAUUCUAGACGUACCUGGACGUCUAGGACCAUGUUGUUCAAUGAGAGGUUGCGACAAUGUAUUGAGUGGGCGAAUAUGGUUGGGGACUUCCCACCGAGCUUCGUUCGACAGAGGAAAUAUUAUCUUACUAUAUGUAGCUCUCCAAUAAUCAAUCAUGUAAUAAUGAGAGUACAAUGUUCUAGAUGCAAAUCCUCAAUACAUAGCAACCGCGACUGCAUGCUCACAAGGAAAAGUCUCAAACUGAAAUUUUUUACAAGUACAUGAGUUAUCAGUCAAGUCCACCAUGUAUGGCUUAUUACGUGCACAUUCCACUGAGAAGUGCUACUCAUCUAGUGGUUUGACAUUUAACUGUCUUGCAAGUUUUGCAGCUUUGAAUAGUUUUUCCUCUUACGUGGGGCUAGCAAGCUCGUGCAAUUCUGUGAUUCCACACGUCGAUUGUAAUACCACUGCUGCAGCUUGAUACGGAUAUUCUCAAUCAGUUCAAGGAUUGGUAAUUCUCGAUCCUUCUUAAAUAAUGCAUCGAGAGACUCCGUGUUGUUUAACGUCAUCAUAUUGUAUCAACGUCCUGGAAAUUACGAGCACGCCCAAUGUUCAAUCGCAUUUUUUGUUAGAUAAUCCCAUGCAUCAAAUGAUUUACUUGCUAUUUCAACCAUGAACUUAUUAUACUCUUCAACACUGUUAGGUUCAGCCGCUUUUUUGAACAAUGAAACGAUACCUUUGCCUCGAUACCUGAUCUUCAGAUUGCCUUGAAUAUGGUACAUGCAAUACCUAUGAUGUACAUCUAGAAAAACUUCAGCGAUACCAUUUAUUAAAAGCUAUUCCUGAUCGAUUACAAAUGCAAGGUCCUCGACUUCUCCGAUUACUUCCCUCAACUUUGUAAAGAAUCACCACAUCGACGGGUCAUUCUCACUAUCGACUAUGCCGAACGUAAAAGGGUAAACUUGGAUGUUGACAUCUUGACAUGUAGCAAUAAUCAACUUGCCUUGAUAUUUAGAUUUCAUUGUUGUACCAUCAACUAGAAUUAGGGAUCACAUUACAUUUAAAAAUCAUCGAAUGCAUUGUCCAAGUGCCAUGAAGAAGAAUUUGAAGCAAUUUUCACCCUCCGUCUUAAUAAAAAAUUUCGAUCCAGGAUUAGUUUUCUCCAUGUUAUGGCUAUACCAAGUCAAUUUAGCAUAGCUUUCCUCUGCAAAACCCAUUAAAUCCUCAAACGCACAUUCAUUGGCCUUCCAGGACUUAUGGUAGCUCAAGACUACUCCAUAGUCUCGACGGACGUCGUUAAUGAUGUCCAAUGGUCUAUAAAUCGUGUGUAGAUUCUGAUACUUGUGUAUUAUCUGUCGAUUAAUAAACCAAGCUCGGGCUUGCCUGUGAUUAUUUCGACGUAAUCCUACUUCACAAGUAUGUUUCCAUGUAUACUUUCAAACUACAAAGCACUCAUUUGUGUUCAUCUUCAUCACUCGCAAACGUCAACAGAAACUGUCGUCUACGUAGGCAAUUGUCAACAACGACUUGUUCGAUUUCUUCACUUUGAACUUAAAGUUGUAUUUCAGCGCAAUUAGGUGCAUAGCUUCCUGCAAAUCUUUUUUUUGCUUCAAGCAGUUGCUCGACAUACAGAUCCUCACUAUCGAGAACCACACGUGAGGAGUUAGAGGACAAUCUACUCGAUCCAGCCCCUGAGGUCCCACCUCACUCAUGUUUCUGCCAGGAUAAAGCGAUCAAAUUCUCGUCUGUAAAAGUAUUUUUAUUUUCAAACUCAUUAUCGCGAAUUACGGACGAAAUUCUGUGAGUAACUGUCUCUGGAAUAACCGUAUCAUCUUCAUGAGCUAUUUGGCCUGUAUCCCAAAAAUCAUUAGCAUUGUGAUCCCCUCCAUCUGAGUCUACUUGUUCACCUUCGACGACAUCCUUCUUCACUAAAGUCACACAAACAGGAGUUAGGUGCCUAUUAUUCACUUCAAACAGAAAAUUCACUUCAGCAUCAAAAGAAAUCAUCAUAGGUGGAAUUGGAACAUCUUGAUCCCCGAACUUAAAUUUCAAUUCCAUGUCAUGCCGAGAGAGAUCGACAUUCAACUUGUUCUAUAAAACAUUAUAGAGUUAUGCAUAUGAUGUUGUUUCUGUUAUGGAAAUUAGGAUACCACUACGUUUAUUGCUCGUCCAUUUAUAUACCCAUCAAUCUCUUGCAUCCAGUUCGAGAUCACCAAAGUAACAAACUGGGACUACAACCAUAUCUGCAUGAUGAAACCGAAUUUUAAAUUGCAAAAAAAAUAUCGAAUGUAAUAGAAAUAGCCCAAAAAAAAACCGACUGUCCAGCUGGCAACAUGCGCUAGCCGACUGUUACACACAUGCUGCCCAGCUGGCUAUUUACAGCUGACUAACAAGCCAGUUGUUCUAACAGUUGACUGGGCAGCCGGCUAUUAAAAUUUGACUGUCCGGCAGAAUAAACACACCAAACUUUUAUUGAUAAAUUUUUUCGUAUAUGCUGAUGAAUUUUUCCUCGUUAAAUGCUUAAACUUUUUACAGAUCUAUUAAAAAAUUAUCUACAUUAACAUUAUAUAUGUUGAAAUAAAUUUUGCCUAUUAAAACGUACAACAAUUUAACGAAAACAAAAUUAAAUGUGCGUAUUUUUACUUAUUGAUCUGAUGAGAUUGAUAUAAAAGAACUUUGAGCUAUCGCAUUCGAUAAAUUUUUCUGAUUUUGAGGUUGGAGUAGAUGAAAGAUGAGAGUAUUUUUAUCUAUGUUGGAGUAAACAGAUAAGACAAGUUUAGCUGGUUUUGAUAUUUUAUGUGGGAAGUGUUUGAUUUUUAUUUGUUGACUAAGGGGUAGUAAUGUCUUUUAAACAAAACCAUCUUUUGUAAUUUUAUAAUGUACUUUAGGGUAUUUUCAUCUUUUAACCAUCAAUACGCUAUUGUGAUAAUAUUCCAUUGUUCUUAAGUCAAAGUGGAAUUUGUGUACUUUGACUUGGUCAUUUUUAAGGGAACCCCAUAGACCCAUUUCCACCUCUCUUCCUUAUCGAUUCAUUUUCUUAUUUUUCAACAAAUCACUUGCAUCUCUUCUGUGGCCUCAUUUUAGUUGCCUGCUUUUGCUUGUAGGAGAUUUUGUGCCUUUAUCGAUAGUUGACCAUCUGCAUUCAACGCUUUGUACCUGUGACUACCACCCAAGAGAUUCCAAGUUUAGUAGAAUUUAAAUCCAUUGAAUUUGCACUAUAGUGUCUUAAGCGCCAAUAUUAUUUAUGGGCGAUUAUGGUUAUUGGGUUUGAUUGUCGUGAAAACCAAGGUUAUGGAGAAGCGGGUUUAUUUUUAUGUUCGUUUUGUUGGGUAUAUGUUUGUGCUCUAUCAAUUUCUUCGUUUAUUGAUCAAUUGAAUGGUUAAAGUAAGGUGACUUUUGUGAUAAUUCUGUUAUUUAUAUUUUUGUGAUUUAUUUUUUAUGAUAUUUCUGCUCAAGUAAGGUGAUUUUUGGUCUAAUUUUCAUAGAACGGAGAUGUAUCUUUUUCUGUUAAUUGCAAAGUGAAAUUAAUUUGUGAUUUAUAGUUCAUCUGUCGCUACUAAAGAAACUGAAGCUGCAGAAAAGAAAAGGGUUAGUAACUUAGUGUAUAUAUUAUGAGAAGAAAAAUAUUCUAGAGUUUUGGUUGUGUGACUUGCUUACCUUAGGUUAGGAUGUGAAUGAAAAAAUUUAUAGAAGCUAAGAGUUGCCAAAGCUGGUACAUGAAUGUGUUAAACAGGGGAUUAAAAGUGACAUGUCCCGUCCCGAAUCACCUUAAUAGACUCGGCAUGUAUCGUGUGUCGAUGGUAGAUACCAGAUAAAUGUCAGACCCACCACUAAGGCAACUUUGACUUGCUUGACUAAAAAAAUAUUUUUAGAAGAAUUUUGACAGAAUUUUCCUUGAAAUAUGGACAAAACCACCUGCGUAAAAAUCAAUUUUCUCAAAUCUAUGCAUAUAAUAUAAAACAAGGUACAUCAACUCCUCGAAAUACCAACUAUUCAAAAUAAGUGCAUUCGAAAGAAAUUUAUAUUCAUUUAUAUUCAGACAACUCCAUUUGCAAAACAUAUAUAAAAAUAUGUAGUGAGCCCGUGAUAUAAAUAUAUUUUCUGAGAAAAGAUGCAUCAAUCCUGAAAAUAUGUGAUGUAGUAACUGACAAGAUGCGACAUACAAGAAAUGAUACUGUGUGACUCAACUCGCAGAUCGACAGGCUCCAAUAUGACUCAACGCAGCUACUAUCUGCUAAGAAAAAGGGUGACAAAAUAUGAGCUUGUAACUCAGUGAGUGGAUAUUCUGUAAAAGUAUAAUUUUCCCUUUAUAACAACUGUCUGAAAACUGGUGUCAACUUCCAAAUUUCCUUUCACAGUACUAUAAACUAAAAUCUUUUUUUUUUAAACUGAGGAAGCUAAAUACUGUAAUUUGAAAUCUGAUAAUACUAUCAAAACUAAAAUAUACUGGAAUCAUACAAAUCUUUAUUCUGUAAACUGCAUAAGCUAAAUUUUUUUCCUAAAAUAUAAAUAACUGUAUAAUGCUGAAAAGCUAUAUUCUUCAGACUGAAUAAACUAAAUUCUGUAGUCUAUAAUCUGACAAGCUGUAUAAUACUAGAAAAUCACACCAAAAAGGUACCCCGGAAUAACCUUACUCAUGUAUCGAUUAGUACCGAUAUACAUGGCAAAGCUAUUCAAUUCUAAAAUUCUGGUCAUACGCGCGUAGAGCUAUCUGGUCAUACACUAUGGAAAUACAUUCACAAUAGUGCAGAGUGGGUAAAAUUACCAUAACUGGUCAUACACUAUGGAAAUACAUUCACACCAGUGCAGUGCGGGUAAAAUCACCUGGGUACUUUCUGGUGGUUUUUAGAAAAUAACUCUAAAUAUGCUAAACUAUUUAAUACGAAUGUAACUUGCUAAGAAAAUGAUUUAAUUGAAUUGAAUUUAACUUUAAAAACAACUGAUUAUAAAUUCACUUUAUUCUAAAAAUCAUACCGUCAAAUCAACUGUAUGAAAUAAUAAACUUUCUAAUCUAAUAUAAAUUUAAUAAAUAUUAAUUUCUUAAAAAAAAAGGUUUUAUAUCCACUCACUGCUCUAUGGAUAAAAAUCGGAUUAAAUUAACUUGCAUUCCCAACUUCCACAUCACUACCUGAAAUACCAGUAUAAUAACUCAAUUAAAACAUGACAAUUAAACUACUUUGCACCACUUAAUUCCUCAACUUUCACAUUUUCUCUUGAAUCUUCCCCAAAUUUUCUUUAAUCAAUUGAAGUUAAUCCCACUUUCUAGUUCCUCUACUAAUAACCAAUUCAUCGAAAAAAACAUCAUUCCAAGUAUAAAAUAAUUUCACUUUACAAUCUAGUAAAAACUGACACAAAGAACACAACCACCUUAUCUUUAAUCUAGCUUCAUAAAAUCAUGCUUUCACUUGAAUAUUUCAUCACCUCAAUUAUUCCAUUAGCAAUACUUAAUCAAAAAUCCCAAUUAAAGAUUUUCAAGUUCGUUCAAAAAUCAUAUUACUUACCUUAAUGUAAAUAUCAAUCACCACUCACAAAGAUUGGCUUGAAAUCAUGCUCUUUCCUUCAAUCUAAAAUUUAAAUCAAGAACUUAGAAUCCUAGAAUAUUUAACAUCAUAAUACAAUAAAUUAAUACUUUCUAACUCUUUAAGAAAUGAAUUAAUAGUACUUGAAGAAAUCAACACUUCGUCUUCUUCCUUUUCUUCCAUUCCUUUAUUUCUUUUCUUUUCUUUUCUUUUUCUUUCUCUUUCCUCCCUUUCUUUCUUGAUUCUUCCAGCUCUUCUGCCCCCCCACCCCCCCUUUUCUUAUAUGUAUUGCAUGUGUGUGUAAAAGAAAUGGGCAAUUGGGUUUUAAAUGGCCACUAAAUCAAUUUGCAAAGGAAGUCCCACUAUUUCAAUUAAACAUAACAUUUAAUCCCUUAACUUAGACCCUCAAAAUAUUUUCAAUUUGUAAAAUAACCCCAAUAAAAUAAUUUACUUCAUUACAGUCCUAAUUUGACAUUGACUUUGACUUUGACUUUAAAAAUUUAACUCUUGACUUUUGACUAGAUAAAAUGGGUUGUAACAAAAAAGUGUCACAGGGAUUGGAAAGUGGUAACAAACAUCAAAAUUACUUGAAAAAAGCUUACAUGCAUAUUUGUCUGCAUACUAAUUCCUGAGAUUAUAUAUAUUUGGUCCAUUUUCAUUUAUUCUCGAACAAGCCUUUUUAAGGUAACUUGAUUUUGCUUUGUGAUGAUUUUUGUUGCCAAAGGAAGUCUCUCUCUUCCUUGUGUUUUUCUUGGUGUCUAUUCUGCGUUACAACGAUUUUGCCCAUAUCAUUUGGAUCAAGUUACAGCGUAUUUGUAUGUUGAGUUCUGAUAUAAUUAAUGAGUAACAUAAAUGUGAUUAAAAUAUGGGAGUGCGGAUUGAGAUGCAUACAUUCAGGGAUAGCAGAGACUUCAGAGGAUGGGUCUAAAUGGGGUCAGGUUAGAAAGGGUACCUGCUGUGUUUGCCGUGAUAACCACAUUGAUUCUUUAUUGUACAGGUAUGGUAACCUAUUGUGUUAUGCUAAAUUAUACGCACUACUAUUCUGCACACAACUCCAAUGCACGCCCGUUAAGACAAAUGUACUAGUUUGAAGUCAUUUAAAACCUUUUUGAAGCCAAAUAUUGACACCAUAUCGUCCACGGUACCGUUCUUGGCUUAAUGGAAGUCCAUAGGUGGUGAAAAAGUCUUUAUAUGAACUUUCUAUGUCAAAUCGACACCAUAUGGAGAGUUGCACACUGUUUUAUGUCACAACAGUUGUUUUUGAGUUGGGGUAAAUUUAAAUUUUGCGGCCACCAUACAUAUGUUUCUCUGAUCUGCAGAUGUAGGCAUAUGUGCACUUGUUCUAAAUGUGCAAACGAGUUGGUUCGCAGAUAAGGAAAGUGUCCAUUGUGUCGUGCACCCAUUAAUGAGGUGAUUAGAGCUUACUCCAUACUGUAAAAAGAAACCUUAGAGAAUAAAAUACGCGAACCAUUGAUAAGAUACGUUGGAACUGCGAUCAACUUUACUCGUCUCUCAAUCUUAUCUGUAGAGUGUUUAGUCAGCCACUGUUAUUCGAAUUAUAUUUGGAAAGCUUUGCAGUGUAUUAAUGGAACCAAAAUUAGCAUUCAACUAUGUCCUCAUUCAUUCGUAAAUAAUAUUUCAAUUCUUUCCUGGCGAAAAAAUAGCAAGAUUUGUCUGUGUCGAGAAUUGUUAGAUUCCCUUUGGAGAAAUAUAAUUUUCACGCAUGACCAAAGCUUGCAAUCUACAAAAAAUAAUUUUUGCCGAACAUGCAUUUGACAUGCAUAUAGUCAUUAAAUCGGAUUCAAUUCUUUGAUGAAAACUUGAGGGUACUUGCAAUCGACACUUGGGUAGACUAAAUUUGUGCCGUCUCUAAAAAUAAAGAGAUUUCUUUUGUGGUGUGGUACCUCAACAAUAUAUGCAAUUUGGAUUCUCAAAUUUCAGACCUUUGUUUUAGGUACAAUGCAGUAAAGAAUAAAAAACAUAAAUAUAUUUUAGAUGCACACAGAACUUAUGUGCCAUAAUGCCAUAAUGCUAUCCCUGAAUGCAUGCAUUUGACCGUUUUUCGAUGCCAUCUAAACUGAAAAUUUUUGCAGCAGGGUAAGUACCUUACUAGUAUACGUUUCAGAAUUUUUUUAUGAAUUAUUUCUUCAACCUUGUCAGAUUAAUCUGCAUGGUGGUGGUGAAUUAGUUGGGAUUUUGAUCUCUGUGAAACUACUGCCUUUUGCAUUGUCGUUUGCAAAUGACUUGUUAUUUGAAACCUCAAUUCUGUAUUUUUUCUAUUAUUUAUUAUUAUUAUUAGUUUUUUGUGGAUUGGGCUGUUUACAUUUCUGAUUGAUCACAUGAUUAGGUUUAGGCCAAUUCUUCUUAUGUUGUAUGGCCGUUCGACGAAGUUGUAAUAGAGUAAAUAGCAUUGAUUUUUUUACUUUACGUUAUUUGUACAAUGGCCUAAUAAGAUGUAUCACUUUGUUAAUUUUCAAAUUUAAAUGCAUUGCUGAUUCGAUGGGUGUUUUUCCAAACAAGUUGAAAAGUUCAAGAAAUUUUCUUUUCAACAACUAGAAUGAGAUGAUUCUAAAUUAGUUUUGUAUAUUGCCUUUUCAAGCAUAUAUUGCUAUUCGUAUUUGAUUUGAAGAUGGAAAAACAAUUAUAUUUGUGUAUUUCUACAGGAUAGUUUGAUGCAUGUUUUGGAAUAUAUCAUUGACUGGUUAUUGUUGCUCAUAUUUUCAGUUCAAAAACUAAUCCUAUUGAAUAUUUACAUUGACAAUUAAUGAAUUAGAAAUGAUAUUCAAUAUUGCAAUAAAAAAAUGCUAUUGAAAAUGAUAUAUUAUAUUCAAUAACUGCUAUAAAUAUUUAAAAAUUAUGAUGGAAGCUCUACAACAAAGUUUUCUUUUUACGUCAUACAUGCGAAUGCCAUAUAAAGCUAUGCUGUAAUUAGUAACAUCUUUUUAUAGUAUGCUUGUGCUAUAAAAAAAAAAAAAAUAGAAAGCAUGUCGUCAAGGAACUUUUUAUAGCAUGUUGAUGCAGGCUGUAAAAAAAUGAUUUUUAUGGUGUGCACACGCAUGCGGUAAAAAAUAUUAUAUUUUUACGGCAUACUUUAAUUACACGCCAUAAAUGUCAUUUUCAAAAAAUAUAAUUAAAAAAUUUGUUUAUUUGAUUAUUAGCAAACUGAUAAUAAUUGACGAACAAAAUUAUAUAAAUCAAUCCAUAUAUAAUUAUAUUUUUCAUAGUUUUGACAAACAAAAAUAUCAAGUACUAGUCAAUACAAUAUGUCAAAAUGUAGACUUAUAGGGGAACGUUCCUUGUACACAUGGAUUUGACAAAUAUUUUUGACAAAUAAUCUUAACCUUUAGAUUAAGCAAAUCCAACAAUUAAUAUGUAUUUCACUAAGAUCAUGAGAGUGUUAGUUAUAACCACUUGAGAUUCAUGAGAUACUAACCGUUGGAUUUUCUUCAUCUAAAGGUUACAAUUAUCUGUUAAAAAAGCUUGUCAAAUCCGUGUGUAGGAUGAACACUUCCCUUAAAUAAAUAAUUCUAAGAACAUAAUUAGCCUACUAAAAAUUGUUUUAUAGCAAUAUAAAAAAAGUGUAGACUACUACAAAAAUAGCUUAAUAAAAUGUUACAAAAUAAUUAACGCAUAUCGAAGUUUAUUUUUUUGAUCAACAAUUUUGCUAUCCCAAAAAUAAUCAACUCUUUGCACAUCAAAAAAAUAAAUAAUAUAUAAGGGUAUAAUACACCUUCAUAAAUAAAAUCAAUAAUUAGAAAAUUGAAAAGUCUAUGAAAUAAGUUCACACCUAAUGUAAAUUCAAAAUCACUUUUUUAAACCUAUGUCCAUACUAACAAAAUAGGAAGUAAAAGAACCCCAUAUGGGUAUUUUUACACAUAAUUAAAACUGCAAUACAAGGAAUAAAUUGUUACUUUUAAUUAAGUAACAAUAAUUCGGACAAUUCUUCAGUUUCAAGCACUAGUAUUCAGAAGAAAAUACAAAUGAAAUUUUCAACUUUUUUUUUUGUCUCUUUCAAGCGCUAAUAUACGUCGACCCUUGUCAUGUACUAUGGUAGUACAUGACAAGUAAUGAACACCUUCUCAAAUUCCAUACAGUCUAAUACAAGAUUAAUGGGAUGGGAUGAAAGAAAUUGAAAACUGUGAGCGACUCCUGAAAAUUGUUAAUGGUAACCAUUCAAAUACUGAAAAGAAAUCGUAAAGUAAAAGGAAAACAUAAAGUUUGUAAUUAUUAUUAUCCACUAGACCUUCCUCGACAGAUUUUGGCUGUGUAGAUUGACAGAUAUGGACCGUCAAGUUUUAGAGGAUGAUAGCUUAAUUUUCAUUUGCUUUUGCUUUUAUUUUCAUUGCACAAGAAGUAAUACUGUCUCAUUUAUUACCUUCUUUCUAUUACUCUACAUUCGUGCUAUGUUGCUUUCGAGAGGUUAGGCUUGUGUCCCCUCCUUCCCUGUAGACUGGCAUCUUUUAUGAUAUAAAAUAUGAUUGGGAAAUCUUAACUCCCAUCUGUUGGGAAUCUACUUAUCAUGGACAGUGGAAAAUAAAACAAUUUUCAAUUCCUACCAAUGAUCUCUUUGUGUUUAGAUAGAAAUUGUGAUAUAAAUUGUACCUUUUCGAGAUUUGCAAACUCUUUUGUUUUUCCCUUGUUCCGGCAGCCCUGAUUUGCAUCCGACAACUGUCCAAUUAUCCAGCCUCUAACAAUGAUCCACACAGAAAACAAGAUUGUAGAGAAUAGGAUUUUCUUUUCUUGUUUAUAUAAGUCCAAAUAGACUUGGCCCGACCUGGUCCAAUAUUUAAUUAACCUAUGUAAUUAAAUCUGGUUCGUGAAUUAAUUCGGGUUUAUAAAUAAGCAACCCAAUUAAUUAAUUUAUCCAAUACUUGUUAAAUUAAUUAAUUUAUUCAAUACUUGUUAAAUUAAUUAAUUGACAAAUUACAAUCUUCUAGUUCUCCUUUUGUAUGCGACUUAUCAGGUUCCCAAUCAUGAUACAUAACAACGUGAAAUAUUAUUUUGAUCUAAUCAAAAUUGAUAAAUUAAAACACCUUUUUAAUUUAUCACCAAUUCACAUUCUCUAUCCCAAAUUAACAUCUAGUAACGUGUUAAGGCAAUACAUGUGAUGGAAAAUAUUACGUGGUAUGACAAAACCAAACUUGUUCAUUGACUGUGAAACUAUAAUUCUUUUGUCAAUAUGAUCCUAUCAAUUACGAGAUAUGGAAGUGUGUCAAGUCUGAUUAUUAAUCAUAUCUUUCAUUCUACUAUUAAGUUAAUAUAAGUCGAAAAUUUCUUUUCGACUUCUGAGUGCACCUUGGCCAAGGAUUUCGCUAUCAACUUAUUUGAAUAAAAUGCAUAUCAUAAUCAUUUACUAUAUAAGAAUGAUGAAUCUUCUAUUGGUCAUUCACAACUUUCAUAUGAUUCUUGACAUACUCAAACGAUGCCGUGUUAACGGCUCUUGGCAGAGCAAUAUCGAACACCGUCAUAGUAUGACUAUCCUCAUAUAAGGUACCAUGAUGACCUCAAAUCAAAGGACCAAUUCUACUACUGAACCUUAGAGAUUAACCACUAACACUCAGAUAGUUAUUCAUGUGGAAUCUCUCGACAAGUCUCCAAUAUUUUGUUCUAUAAACAAAUAUUCAUGUGUUCAUUCAAGUGUCACCACACUUUAGCUUGUGAGAUCAGCUACUUACUUCUUAAGUAAGAAAUGUCAUAUGUGAUGGUCUAUCCAUAAUAACGAUAUCCAUAUCUUAUUAUUACUUACGACCACAGACGAUUUAAGAUUCAAUUAUAUGAAAUUUGUAUUUUACAAUCACAACUCUUUGUGAUUAACAAAUUAUCAAGAUUUGAAUCUACGGAAUCCAUUAUUUAAUUCAAUUGAACAUUAAUUAAUUAAAUAAUAGAUCUGCCAUAAAUCACAUCAACCAUAUAUUAAAAGCGUUUAUGUUCAAAAUCGAUUGGAUUUAGGGCAUAACACUUACAAACUCCCACUUGCACUAGAUCCAAUCACUUAUGUAUCUAAUGUCAUAAGAGUAUACAUGACAUCAUGUUUAUACUGUGACAACUCUUUGUCAGUGAAUCUACAAUAUUAUCAAUUGUGAGAAUUUGUUCCUUCCUUUACAUCAUUUCUUUGUAUUAUCUCUUCGAUGAGAUAAUAUUGUCUUAACACAUGUAUGGAUCAUUGAUGAGACUUUAGUUUCUUCACUUGUGCAAUGGCUCUAUUGUUAUCACAAUACAAUGACACGUGAUCAACAAUGUUAGGAACUACUCCAUGUUCAUUAAUGAACAUCUUGAUCUACAUUACAACUCCUUGCUGCUUCUAAAUCAAUCACGUAUUAUGUUUCUACUAUUGAACCAACGGUUAUUUCACGUUUGGAACCUUUCCAACACACCGUUUAAAGGUAAACCAACUUUCUUCACAUAAAAUCUUCUAAAGAUUUUAUCUAUGAAAAUUAAGAUGAGUUAAGCAAUCUUCUGGAUCUAUCUCUUUCGAUCAAGUUGUUUGUCCCAUAUCUUUCAUGAAAAAUCCUUUAACAACCAUUAUUUCAACGAUUGAAAUGUAAGGAUAUCAUUUUUUAUUAAUAAUAUGUCUUAUAUUUAAUAUUAGGAAUGCGACAAUGCUCCUACUAUCUUCUUGUAAACACACAAUUCGUCUUCAUAUUUGAUGAAAUCAAACCUUUUGAUUUUUCCAUCAAACCGAAGACUACAGCUCCGAAAGGCUUGCUUUAAUCCAUAGUCAAGGUAUGUAAUUAUUGCAACCAAAAUCCAAAUGGACUUUAGCAUGGCUAAAGGCGAAAGGUUUCACCGAGAUCAACACUUAACCUUUUGUUACUAGUCUUGCUCAGUAUAUACAGAUAUUCCGAUCCACAUCGAUCUUUUUCCUUGUAAAUCAUUUACAACAUAUGGGUUUUAUUGCAUUAAGAGGGUCGACGAAAGUCCAAACCUUGUUUUCAUACAUUGAGUUCAUUUCGGAUUCCAUAGCCUCCUGACAUCUAUUUGAGCCAAUACUUGACUCUACUUCUGCGUAAUUAGUAGGUUCAUAAUCCUCGAUCAAUAAUACCUAAUUAGUAAUCGUGGAUUCACACCUUUUUGAAGGUUGAGUGAUCCUACUAGAUUUAAAUGUAGUUGUCAUGGCCUCAAGAAUCUCUACUUCCUGAUCAAGAGUGUAUCCAUCAUCAGGUGUGGGAUCAAACUCAGAUUCAUCUACUUGGUCAACUAUAUCUGUGGACUCUUGAACUCUUUCAAGUUUUAUUUUGCUCCCACUACCCUCUCCUAGAGUAAACAUUUUUUCUGAGAAGACGAUAUGUCGUAGGACGAAGACUUUCUUCUCAGUGGGAUAAUAAAAUUAAUAUCCAAUUAUUUGUUUUGGAUAUCCACAAAUAUGUAUUUAUCAAAUAUAUACUUAAGUUUAUCAGAUUUAUUGUACUUCGAAUAAGCGCCACAGUCCCAAAAUUUCAUAUGAGAUAAGUUGGGACUAUUGCCUUUCCAUAACUCGUAUGGAGUUCUGUUAACCAACUUAAAUGAGACAUGAUUUAGUGUGUAGCACACUGCAAUCAGUGCAUGACCCCAAAACGAUUUUGGGAGCAUGACCCCAAAACGAUUUUGGGAGAUUUGCAUGGCUCAUUACUAGUUGGACUAUAUUUAAUAGUUUACGAUUCCUCCGUUUAGAUAUACCAUAAUGCUGCAGUGUAUAUAGAGGAGUUCAUUGUAAGAGAAUCUCACUCUCCUUUAGAUAAUCUAAAAUUUUAUCUUUAAAAUAUUCUCACUUCGAUCAGAUCUUAAUGUGAUGGUAUCUUUACCUAUUUGUUUCUCUACUUCGAGCUUGAAUCCUUUGAACCUUUGAAGAACUUCAUGCUUGAAUUUCAUCAAGGAUACAUGAUCGUUGAUGACAUAAGAGAAACCUCAUCUGACAUGGAUUCAUAUACAUCACUAUGUAUUAUGUUAAUAUUUAUGCAGAUUUAUUCUUUUUCAAGUAAAAGGAGAUUUGAUCAUUGUGCCAAACAGGCAUGAUUGCACUUGUCAAAUGAUUCAAAAUCAAUUGAUUCUACGCAUACAUCUUUAUGUAAUUUUGGAAUUGCAUUUCAUCUAUAUGACCAAGUCUGUAAUGUCAGAUUUAGGUAUCAUUCAGAUUAUCACUUUUAUGCCUCUUAACUUCUAUACUCAUUAUAAAAUGCUUAAUAUUCAGAAUAUAAAUGUCAUUUUAAAAUUUACCAUAACCAUUAAGAUCUCAAUCAAGAUAAAUAGGAACAACAAUUGUCCUUUACAUUAAAACAAUACAUGUCCGAACAUGAAAUGCAUUUAAUUCUCCAGUUAUGGUGGGUACAAAGUAACAUUUCUCUAAUUCCAAUACUAGGCUUAAAGGCAACAACAAGAAGUAUACUCCUACAGGCAAUGCAUCAACCUUUUCUCAUCUUCAACGUCUGAGUCAACUUCUCCCUUUCGCAGUGGUCUAUUUCUAUUUAGUUUCUCCAUAUUUGUAUAAACAUGAGAUCUACAUCAGGUAUCAAAUACCUAAGAAACUUAUGAAGUAGACAUAAGCUAUGCAAUAUUUCUUCCAAUAACCUUUCAUUCUAUAAUGAAAGUAGGGAUCAUCAGGUUUGGUAUUGUCCUUUGCUUUGACCGUAUUAGCCAUAGUAGACGCUUUCUCAAAUCCCCUUUAGACUUAGUCUUAAUAUCCUUACAGAAAUCAUUGGCUUGCCCAUUUACAACUUUGAUAUCGAGCAUAAUAGUCUUAAGCAGGUUAAGCAACUUAAUAAGUAUGCAUUCGAACUUAUUCAUAUCAUAAUUCAUAACUAGUAUGAAUAACUCUCUGACAGAAAUUGCAGAACUAAGUUAAUACUUAAUUCCUAGUUCAUGAUUGAACUUAAUUAAGACAUCUUCUCAAUGCCAUUAUUUUCAGUACAUGAUCAUUGACUGAAGAUUCCUCUUUCAAUAUGCAUCGGUAUAGUUGCUCGGAUGUCUCAUAUCCUUACACACACGAUUAUUAGCAUACACUCUUUGAAAUGAAAAAUCAUGUUUAGCAUCUAUACUCUCAAAUUGCUUUUGUAACUCAGGUGACGUAAUGCAAACAUCACAUAUGUUGUAUUACUAUUGUCAUCACUGUGUUAUUAUAAUAGACACAUUUUCCUUAAUAGAGUCAUCACCAGGUGUUGUCAUAACCAACUUUCUCACGCUUGAGAACAAUUCUCAAAUUGUAGUGUCAAUCAAGAAGAUUCAAUUUGGUUGUUGGCAUCCAGUAUGCCACUCCAAUGCACAUGGUUACUCACGAUUCAAUAAAUAUAAAUUACGAAAAGGAAAAAGAAUAAUAUAUAAAAAAUGCAUCAAUUAAUUUAACAUGGACAGUUAUUAAAUUAAUUAUGCUCCCACUGUUUAACUCAAAUUUAUGACCCCUCUCACAUAAAUUUAUGGAGUUCAUACUUGACUCCCAACGGGUUAGGAUCUCAUCUGUUAUACCAAGACCUUGAGUAUACUCAACAAGUUUUAAUAUAAUAUUUGGGCAGAUAUUAUUAUCAAUUGUAUUUCUAUACAACUCCUAUGUCAUUAAGCUGACAACUCUUUGUCUUUACGCAUCUUAUGUGUUAGCUAACAUGCUUCUAAAAUAUAUCUCCUUAAGUGUACUUAACAAAAAAAAUAAAUUUUAAUUAAGUCGGAUCCAUCAUCAAGAAAUAUCUAAUAUUUCAUAGUGUCAAACAUAUUUUUAAUAGACCAGCCUUUGUUAUUUAAAGUUGUAUAUUUCAUUUUCAAUAUAUUAUAUUUUCCUUGAUUUAUGUAUUUGGAUAAGUUUAACGAAGAAAAAAUAACUUUCAAGUAAUUAUUUUUUGUCGUCGUUUUUAUUUUAUUUCUUCUCACUUUACACCAUAAAAGUUACUUAUGUUACAAGUAAAUAAGAGUCUUAUGGUUAAAAACUUAAAGCUAGUAAUUUAAUUAUUUUAAUUUUGAUGUACAUUUUUUUUAAAUUUUUAUUUAAGAAAGGAACAUGUUUGGUUAAGCUUAAAAUUGUGCUUAUAAUUACCUUUUUGAUGGCCUGGACUUGAGUUGACUAUAAAUUUGACAUCGAUGCUGGCUGCCUACUAGAAUUCAUUCAGUUUUAAACGGAUAAAGCCUAAAGUUUCCGCGUAAUGACGUCUGUUUUUAUUGUUUGUUGCUGAAUGCGUUAUCAUAUACAGCUGGAAGGAACCUUAUAAUAUCAAUGGAUAGAGACGAAGACCCUUUUUGUUUUCUUUUUGUAAAUUUCUAUUAUUUAAUUAUUUAUUUUUGUAUAGUUCGGCAGUUUCAACUAAUCCUUAUUAUUUGGUCCUAAAAUCAUUUGACUUUCUGUUUGUUUCACUGUAUAAAUUGGACCAUUUUAUAUUCUUCUACCUUUUCUUUUGGCAUAUACUAAGAAUAUAUUAUAGUUCCUUUUUUUUUUUUUUUUUAAUGAUUAUAGGUGUCCGGACCAGCUUAAGCGCAUUUCAACUAAUUCUACGAGACCCUAAAAUUUACAACCGGAUACUAAUUUCAGUGGUCCUGAAAGCAUUCGAACUGGUGACCAUUGAGAACAAACUCAAUGCCUGAUCACUGAGCUAUCCCUCAAGGUUACUAAGAAUAUACUAAAGUUGUGCUUAUUUUGUUUAAACAAACAAAGUUAUUUAACAACGAAUGCAGGGCCCUUUUCGUUAUUUUUAAUCACACAUUUUAUUAGAUUUACAAUUUUUACUCACCCUUUGGAAGAUUCACUAACUAUUAUUAACUUUUAGCAACAUCACACAGCCUGUUAGAAUGAGACUCUUUUCCUUAAUACUUUUAUUAAUGUUAGAUGCUUUUGUAGUCGACAGUUAGAACAUAUUUUGUCGAAAUGAGUUUAACAUUGAAGUAGUGUUUGUCUUAUUAGCUUCGAAGAUUGAAUUAGUAGAGUUUCAAGAGAAAUGAAUGUAAAUUUUAUUAUUUGCAAAUAAUUAACACAUAAUUGUGCAAAGAAUGCAUUUGCUACCUUUCAUUUAAACCAAAACAUAAAUAAUUUGUUUUGGCAUUUUUUUGUUAUUAUAUUCUCUUUCUUGACGUGCAAUUGGAACCUAUUCCUAUUCGUUGAACUUAAAGUGAUUAGGGCGGGCUUUACCCGCUUGAUUAAGGUCUCCGCCCCACACCGCCCUGCCCUACGUUGCCCUAUUUAAAUUCUAAUUUUUAACUUUUAAUAGUUCAUAAACAUAUAUUUAACCCAAUUGACCAACUAAGGCCCAAACCCACAACUAAACAUUUAACUCAACCCAAUGCCCACCAUUUAAGGGGUGUAUUCAAUUGAAACUUUUAAUGACUUUUUGAGAUUUAAAAAAUUUAGAGGUAUUCAAUCGAGACCUUUUGAGACUCUCUAAGACUUUUAUAUACUUUUAAGAAAUCUCUAAAAAUCACGGUAUAUUCAAUUGAGAUUUUUAUAAAUUUUUAAAAAGUCUUUAAAGUUAUAGUGUACUCAAUUAAAACUUUUUAGAAAUAUUUAUAAAUUUUGGAGUAUUCAAAUUUUAAUGACUUAUAGAAACUUUUAUAAAAGUCUCUGAAGUACUAACUUCAAAGUAAAAAAAUAUUCAUAUAAAAUCUUAAAGUUUUGUCUCUCAUUCAUCACGAGAUUUUGGGAGACUUAAAAAAAAAAAUGUAUUUUUUUGAUCAUUCUUUCAUUUUCCCUUCUACGGACAUGUAUGAGAUUUUGGGAGACUUAAAAAAAAAAAAAAGUAUUUUUUUGAUCAUUCUUUCAUUUUCCCUUCUACGGACAUGUAUAAUUAAAAAAUAUUUUUUCCUAUUGAUUAUCUUUAUUUUCAUUUAUCUUUCUCUCUCUCUUUUAUUGUUUAUCUCUAUUUUCCAUGAAAAAUUAAAUUGAAUUCUUAUAAUUUUUUUCUGUUUUCAUUCAAUUUUUUUAAAAAAUAUCUAUUCUUUUAUUAAAUUAUAAAAUUUUAUAUGAAAAAUUUAUAAUUAAAUUUAAAUAUAAUAUUUUUUACUUAUUUCUAAAAGUACAUUAUAUUUAUAAUAUUGAAUAUUAAAAAUUUAUUGUUUAUCAUAUAUAUGUAUUAUUAUUAUUAUUUAUUUAUUUAAUUAAGGUCUGUAAUUUUUAUUCUUAAUUUUAUUUUUUAAUUAUAUGAGGAGAAGGUGGGGUAGGAAAAGGGAAAUUGUGGGAACCAACACCUCAUAUUUAAAAAUUUCAUACCAUUGUACUAUAUCCACAUAAAUUCUAUUUCAAAUGAAAGUUUUCAAAAGUUUUUCGAAUUCUACAAAAGUCUAUAAAAAAAAAUUAAAUGAAAGUCCAUAGAAGUCUACAAAAGACUUUCACUAAUUCCAUACAAAUCUAAAAAGGAUCCACGAAGUCGACAAAAAUCAUUGCUUAGAAAAGGUAUAUCAAAGUCUUCAAAAGUUCCAAUUGAAUACACCCUCGGAUUUUAGAGAUUAGAGAAUCUGAAAUUGAAUUCCAAUUGACCUAGUGAUGGGAGGGUUUUGAGUAACUAAGUUGAGGAGUUUUUUCCAUUUUCCACAAAAGGGCCGUGCAUCUCUAGUCUCUCUUGCCAUUGCCAUCACCGUUGAAGUUGAUAGCCAGCCGAGUGAUAGGUUCGUUUUGUUUCACGUUCUUUUUGUUUGUAAAAAAUGAAUUAUGUACUUUUAGUAAUUUUUUUUCCUUUACUUUUAACUUUUCCCCUUGUACGUGAUUUUUAUUUGAUGUUUUGUGGUAGAAUAAAUUCUGGGCGAAGCAGAAAUGUGUAUAGUGUCCAUAGUCCUUCGUUUUCUUGAAGUUGCUCAUCGUUUCCUGUAAGAAUCAGUAUAUUAGUGCAAGAACUGUAUCUGACUACAAGAAUUAUUUUCCUGUUUUUACCAAGGCUAAUCCUUUGAUUUUGGGUAAAUGUUGAUUCUAUGUGCUCAAUAUGCAUAAUAGUGUUUAAAUCUUGCACCGGCAAAGCAUUUAUGUGACUCAAAAUGUGUUCAUUGAAGUAAAAGAAACUUGCCAGAAUGCAUGCACAGAUAUUUACUAGAUCGAGCUCGUUAUACUCCAUAUUGUGUUUAGUUAGUUUGCGAGUUACACAAGUUCUUAUUUGGUUUAUAAUGGUACAGGGAACUUGGUUUGAGAAAUUACAAGGAGCUCUGUUACCCUUUGGAUUUGCUGGUGCAAAAUCUGAUGUGUCCCUAUUGGUGAGGAAUGCACAGUGACAUACUACAUAUAUUUUAGUGUAUGUAGAUGAUGGAACAUGGAGCAAUGAUUCUUUCGUCAAGACUUGGUUGGUAAGUUGAAUGGUCUCUUUGUUCUUAAGGAUCUCGAGGAAAUCAACUACUUUCUAAGCAUUCAAGUGGAGCACAGAAAAGAUGGACUACAUCUUUCUCAAAAAAAAAUUUUUGUUCAGGAUUUAGCUAAAAUGUCUAAUGCCAGAUCUCUGAGUACUCCGACGGUUGCUGGUGCAAAAUGUUAUGUGACCAUCACAGUAUCACUCGAUCAGAGUUAGCAUACUCUGCCCGUUUAUGCAAAAUCCCUUGGAAGAACAUUGGCGUGUAGUGAAAAGGAUGCUACAAUGCUGGAGGGGAAACAUCAGCUUAUGGCAUGCAUCAGAGAAAGUCUCCAAAUCUAAAUUUGUACAGCUUCUUUGAUUCAGAUUGGGCCUCAAAUCCCAAGUAACAUCUAGCUAUUGCAUUUAUUUUGUCCUCUUAGUCUGCAUAGUUUUUGUGGUUUGUUCACUCCUAAAUGUUCAAUGCAGUUUUAAGCUAUCAAGAUGUGUUAGUGAUAAGUGUAUUUGGUACAAUUAUUUGGGCCUAAAAAUAUAGUUAUUUAAUAAUUCUUUUGAACGCUUAUAGCCCAAUUUAUUAUAUAAUGUGUUAUUAAAUGAAACUCGAUAAAUGGAAAGGAAGCGAAAAUUAGCAAAAAAUGGACGAGGUCCAAAGUUUGGGGACUAAAGUGUAAAUACUUAAAAGUUGUGUCCAACCUCACGAUGAAAACUUGAGAAUGCUAGUGGUUAAUUGGAUGCAAUUAGAAGUCAAAAGGAGUUAGCUAUGACUAGAAUAAUUUCACAAAUAAAUUUUCAAUCGCAUACGGAUGUUUCAGAUUUUCAGCCAAAGAUUUAAACCAAUUUUUGACAAAACCAAUAUUAUGAAAAUUAGAUGAAAAUUUUAAGUUAGGGUCAACUUUUGAGAAUGGAUGUUUAAUGAGGGACAUUGCACUAAUCAUCCAUUGGCUCAAUAAUGCAAAGUGAUCCUAGACACACGAAGCUAUUCUACUAGAUUUUCACUUUCCUAAUGUUAACAGUGGAUGUGGAGGAAGACUUGAUACCAUAUAUGUGUCAUUUAAUUGAGCUACUGUGCCAUUUUCUUCACGUGUAUUGAUAUCUACCAACAUAUUCCACCAAAAAAUACUAAUCAACCAAAUAAAACUACAAAAGUAUUAAUGCACCAUAAGAUGGCAAGAAUAUUGCACUUGUGUCCAUUUUACUCGAGGCUUUUGCAAAUAACAACAAAAUACGUUAACUUGCAUUAGUUCCACCACGAAAAAAAGAUUAUCAAUCCCACUAUGAAAUAAGCUUAAUUUAAAGAAUAUGCGCUUUACAGACUUCAAUAAACGUGCGGUUGGAAGCACCAAACUAUACACAAGGAUAAUAUUCACAAUUCACAGACACUGAUAAUAACAUUUAUUAUAUUCGUGCACUUUCUAUUUCAACCUCAUAUCUAAUCAUAAUGUACUGCAAGUGCACUGUUUAACACUAAACCAUUCUCAUGGUAUGCAUAUCUAUAUCUUCCAUAUUCUUUAUAGAUAUUGCAGUCCAAAAGUCAACGAUAAACCAUGAAUCAUGUUUUUUGCAAUGAUAAAAUAAAGGAGAUAAAUACCAGAGACUUAUGGAACCUCUUCUUUUCUUGCAACGUUUUUGGGAUUCAUUCAUAUCAUCAUCUUGCCCAUGAUAUUUAGUUUAUUAUCAGAUAACUUUGCAUUUGUACAUAGUAUCCCUACAACUAACCAAGGAACAAAAAAAAGAAAAAAAAAAAAAAGGAACAUUUAUAUGUUUUAAGUUAUUCUCUUGUCGUCAAUAAUGUAUCUAUUUAGUCUAACAAUUAAUUUCACAAGGCAUUCUAACUACAAUUAAAAUGUAAUCAAUUUCAUAAUGACAUAUGUUGCUAACCAAUUAAUAUCAGUUAACAUCUUUAGUACAAAUUAAUAAUCAACUUUCUUAAACAACAACGAAAAUGAACAAACUAAACAAAAAUGAGCCAAAUGAAUAUACGACAGUCACCCUUUUUUUUCCCCCCAAACAACUAAGAACUCCCGAAAGCAAAACGCAGAACCCAAAUAUUAAUUCAACAUAUUCAGAACUUUGACGUCCAAAUUAAUAUAAAACUAGAAUGGACAAAAUGAAUUAGUAAAAUAUAGAAUUGUUUCUGGCUGUUGGUGCAUAAUUGUUUUACGGAUUGAAUGAUAUAAACAAUAAUCUAAGAUCAAAUUUCAAUGGGUAUAUUUUGAAGAAUGGGAUCGCUAAUCAUACAGGAAAAAAUCAAUGCCAUAUGCUUACACCAUACAAUUCUUCGAGGUGAUAUCGUCCCAAAAAACUCAACUUCUGCAAUUUCGCUGUGAAUAGCUAUUACCAAAGAAACGGGCAGGUUGUUGAAUCCCACAGCAAGCUGCCCAUUUAUUUGGUAAUAGCUAUUCACUGCAAAACCUGCCCGUUUUAUGACUUCAGAUUCAUAAAAUAAGAAAAACUCACAGAGUUAAAAAUUCAACGUUGCGAAGCAUAAAUCUUCAGUGCUGAGAGGGGGCGAUAGGGAUUAAGCAACGACGUCGUCGACAGCUCUAUCACCGUUCCUCCAUCGGAACUCGAUGGCAACAAACCUGACGGAGCCCGAACGCUCUUUAAUGCGUCCCUGUACUUCUUAUACAAGAUCGUCUGAUUCCUCGUCGCCAUUGAAAAGGAAAAACUAAAAAUAAAACUUGACCACGAGAUAACGACUUCAAUUCAAAAUCAAUUACGAUAUGAAUGCGAUCUGUAGUUUUGCGGAUUAGUAGAUUUCUCGUUCAGUGUCAGGUUCGGGAUCAGAAAGGCUCCAGAGAGAAGUCGGAAUCUGUCACGGUCGGACUCCACCUGCAACUUCACAACUACCGUAACGCAGAAAUGGGAUGAUUUCCAGUAGGGUUAGCUGAAUAUGUAACCAAUUGAAAUAGAAGAAACAGAAUGGGGGAGGGAUUAGAUGAUGUAAAAAGAGAAGAGAUGAGAGGCGAAAUGAGUCGGAGAAUCAAUUCACUACCAACACAAAUUGCAGACCAUAAUAAAUUCAUCGAUCCCCUCCAAAAUGCCGAGCUACGACCAUAUAUACAACCAAACAACAACCCUCAAAGUAAAGGGCUUUAGGGCUGGCCCAUUAACAAUAAAAGUAAAUUAAUCUGGUUGAAUUUUCGGACGGAUUGGAUUUUCUCAGUCAUUUCAACAAUUCUACUUGACGGUGUGGAACUCUUUGAAGGAAAUCGUGUGUAUUUUGUUCGUACGGGAAUCUCGUCCUUCAUAAAUAGCAACUUUAUAUUAAGUUCAGCAAACCUUGUAAUUGGGAAUCUCAUCCUUCAAUCCAAGCAUUUAGCACAAAAAUCACGUCAAAAAAUUGAGGCCAGUGGCUGAGGCACGAGCAGAAAUGAGAGACGACGAGAGGUAGAAGAGAUGAGAGGCAUAGAAGAAAAUUGAAAACUGAAAAG
rnacentral:lncRNA from 1 species